rnacentral:rRNA from 1 species
AUUGAACGCUGGCGGCAUGCCUUACACAUGCAAGUCGAGCGGAUGAGGAAAGCUUGCUUUUCGAUUCAGCGGCGGACGGGUGAGUAAUGCCUAGGAAUCUGCCUGUUAGUGGGGGAUAACUCGGGGAAACUCGGGCUAAUACCGCAUACGUCCUACGGGAGAAAGUGGGGGAUCUUCGGACCUCACGCUAACAGAUGAGCCUAGGUCGGAUUAGCUAGUAGGUGAGGUAAUGGCUCACCUAGGCGACGAUCCGUAACUGGUCUGAGAGGAUGAUCAGUCACACUGGAACUGAGACACGGUCCAGACUCCUACGGGAGGCAGCAGUGGGGAAUAUUGGACAAUGGGCGAAAGCCUGAUCCAGCCAUGCCGCGUGUGUGAAGAAGGUCUUCGGAUUGUAAAGCACUUUAAGUUGGGAGGAAGGGUAUUCACCUAAUACGUGGGUACUUUGACGUUACCAACAGAAUAAGCACCGGCUAACUUCGUGCCAGCAGCCGCCGUAAGAC